CUUGGAGUUGAGAGUGGAAGGGUCUUGCCCACGGCCAAAUGAGUGAAUGACAGAUUGAAAUAGCCCCUGCUUGAAAAGAGAUGUUCCAGGAGGAAUAUGCUGGAACUCAUGGAGAGACUUUCAAACCGACGAGAGUGGCUUGUAGAAGGC